rnacentral:tRNA from 1 species
GGGGUUGUGGCUCAGUGGUAGAGCAUUUGCCUAGCAUGUAUGAGGCACUGGGUUCAAUUCUCAGCACCACA